GUGUAACGGUAUUCGAAUUAUUACGGAAAUAAUAACCAAUAAACUUGUGAAUCGCAAAAUAAAUUAAAUUUAUACAAUGGUGAAGUGUGCAGUUGUUGCCUGCACCAAUAAAACCCAAACAAAACUAGCGGGAAUUUCAUUUCACAAAUUUCCAAAAAAUCAUAAUUUAAGACAAAAAUGGCUAAACAGCAUUAACAGGCCUAAUUUCAAGCCAUCACGAUACAGCUGCAUAUGUAGUGAUCAUUUUAAGAAGGAUCACAUUAAUUUAACAUGCUUUCCGCGCCUCAAAAACAAUGCCUGUCCAUCUAUCCCGGUGAGAAUCUUUUUUCAUCGUAUUCAUUCUUGUUUGUGAUAAUAUAGGAAUUCCCUCAUUUUAAAAUAUCUGAAUACUAGCAAAUUUUAGUUUGAACAUUUAUUUAUAUAUUUUUUUUAUUGUGUCCAA